UACGUAGGGUGCAAGCGUUAAUCGGAAUUACUGGGCGUAAAGCGUGCGCAGGCGGUGAUGUAAGACAGUUGUGAAAUCCCCGGGCUCAACCUGGGAACUGCAUCUGUGACUGCAUCGCUGGAGUGCGGCAGAGGGGGAUGGAAUUCCGCGUGUAGCAGUGAAAUGCGUAGAGAUGCGGAGGAACACCGAUGGCGAAGGCAGCCCCCUGGGCUGACACUGACGCUCAGGCACGAAAGCGUGGGGAGCAAACAGG
rnacentral:rRNA from 1 species